AAAAGGGUUCUCUUAAUCAUAACAGCAUGAAGAUGAAGAUGACAGCUCGCCUCCUAAAACAGCAUGAAGAUGAAGAUGACAGCUCGCCCACUAAAACAGGCCAGAGUUGAAGCUAAAUGAGAGAAAGAUCUGUCAUACCUCAUUGAAGCUUCGUGCCGCUCAAAUCAAGUGUGAUGGGCUGUUUGGACAGAAAAGUGUGCAAAAGGUUGGAGAUGUGUAUCACUUCCACUCGAACGUGCCCGCUUGGUCGCUGAGACAGCAGCCAGACGAAUCGGAGGGAGUCUAUCAGCGCUUCGUUUCAGAGGAUCGGGUAAACAUUAUACUACUGAGGGCUGAUGUGUGUGUGCGUGUGUAUGUGCAUGUGUGUGUGUAUUGCAUUAAAGCAGUAACCACCCUGGAGAUCCAAGACUGCAGCCAAAAUCAUGGGUCAUUAAAUUCAAAGUAUAAAGGGGUGUGAAGUUUUGUUACUGUCCAAGGUGCAACAAGGUGUGGCAGGUACCGAAUUCAGGGCCGUCAUGGUAACUGCUGUACUGACUAAGCAACUGCAAUGUUCAUAUUGAAAAAAAGUCAUUAAAUGCAGAUCUCAGAUCUAUUAAACUGCUAUUUAAGUUAUACAAUAAUGGCACAGGAAAUCAUUUGUUGGCAAACAUGGCAAUAACUCAAACAAAAUUAUUGUUUAUGUAAUAUAUAUAUGUAGUUUAUGUAAUGUAUUUGUUUAUGUAAUGACCCAGUAUCUUCUUAAUAGAAGAAAAAAAAAAUUCUCCCCUGGAGCCACAAAGCAUCGUUACACUGACUUU
rnacentral:lncRNA from 1 species